GAUGAACGCUGGCGGCGUGCCUAAUACAUGCAAGUCGAGCGAACAGAUGAGGAGCUUGCUCCUCUGACGUUAGCGGCGGACGGGUGAGUAACACGUGGAUAACCUACCUAUAAGACUGGGAUAACUUCGGGAAACCGGAGCUAAUACCGGAUAAUAUAUUGAACCGCAUGGUUCAUUAGUGAAAGACGGUUUUGUUGUCACUUAUAGAUGGAUCCGCGCCGCAUUAGCUAGUUGGUAAGGUAACGGCUUACCAAGGCAACGAUGCGUAGCCGAACUGAGAGGGUGAUCGGCCACAUUGGGACUGAGACACGGCCCAGACUCCUACGGGAGGCAGCAGUAGGGAAUCUUCCGCAAUGGGCGAAAGCCUGACGGAGCAACGCCGCGUGAGUGAUGAAGGUCUUCGGAUCGUAAAACUCUGUUAUUAGGGAAGAACAAAUGUGAAAGUAACUGUGCACGUCUUGACGGUACCUAAUCAGAAAGCCACGGCUAACUACGUG
rnacentral:rRNA from 1 species